rnacentral:lncRNA from 10 species
CGAAUGACUGGAGUUUCCUGCUUCUGUCACUACACCUCCCACCCUCUCCCAUCACCUGCUCUGCUCUUACAAGGAUCCGAGUGGAGUCUUGCUCUGUCAUCCAGGCUAGCAGUGGCGUGAUCUUGGCUCGCUGCAAUGUCUGCCUCCUGGGUUCAGAUGAUUCUCCUGCCUCAGCCUCCUGAGUAGCUGGGACUGCAGGCGCCCGCCACCAUGCCCUGCUGUUUUGUAUUUUUGAGAAAUGGAAUAAUCGUAUCGCUGAUCUAUGUAAACAAAUUGAAGAAUUGUCUGAAAGAAAAUAUGGUAUGUCUAAACUGGAAAAGUCCUGUAAUCUUAUGUUCAUGGGCGUUUACACAAUGGAGUUACUG